rnacentral:tRNA from 1 species
UGCCGAUGUCGUACACGGGCAGCAGGUGCACGUCGGUCAGGCCGGCCGUGGCCAGCGCCUUCAGGUGCUUCAUGCCGUUCGAGCCGGCUUCGGUGA